rfam:Morus notabilis contig16817, whole genome shotgun sequence.
GGGCCAUGACGAUUCUUGUGCCUUUGUGAUGUACGGGUUCAUCACGAUCAUCUGAAUCAACAGAUGAGAUCGGCACUACUGAGCUC